CCUACGGGAGGCAGCAGUGGGGAAUUUUGGACAAUGGGGGCAACCCUGAUCCAGCCAUGCCGCGUGUGUGAAGAAGGCCUUCGGGUUGUAAAGCACUUUCGGACGGAACGAAAUCGCGCGAUCUAAUAAGUCGCGUGGAUGACGGUACCGUAAGAAGAAGCACCGGCUAACUACGUGCCAGCAGCCGCGGUAAUACGUAGGGUGCGAGCGUUAAUCGGAAUUACUGGGCGUAAAGUGUGCGCAGGUGGCUGAGCAAGUCGAGUGUGAAAUCCCCGGGCUUAACUUGGGAAUUGCGCUCGAAACUACUUGGCUCGAGUGUGGCAGAGGAAGGUGGAAUUCCAGGUGUAGCGGCGAAAUGCGUAGAGAUCUGGAGGAACACCGAUGGCGAAGGCAGCCUUCUGGGCCAACACUGACGCUCAUGCACGAAAGCGUGGGGAGCAAACAGGAUUAGAUACCCUGGUAGUCCACGCCCUAAACGAUGAUGACUAGUUGUUGUGGGAGUUAAAUCCCUUAGUAACGCAGCUAACGCGUGAAGUCAUCCGCCUGGGGAGUACGGUCGCAAGAUUAAAACUCAAAGGAAUUGACGG
rnacentral:rRNA from 1 species